GCGAGGGUGAAUGAGGCAGUCAGCCGGACUCAUCCCCCGGAAUGUGCAGGUUCGACUCCUGCCCCUCGCU
rnacentral:tRNA from 1 species